rnacentral:lncRNA from 1 species
UGUUUCUUUUUUCUUUCAUAGAAGGAGCAGAGAGUAGUGGGGAAAGUGUGAGUCAGGGCGCAGAAACAGCAAAGUGCAUCGUACCAAUAAGGCAUUCUAAUGGAAUCAUCUGAGUAGGCCUAGAAAAUACACGAUGGAAGCUGGAAGAAUAGAUGCAGAAUCAAUGAUAUAGAUUUGGGAAUCACAUUGAUAGAGUGAAUGAGACUGCAGAUUGGGGGAUUGGAGAGAGUGAAAGGAUGGCCAAUGAAGACAGAUCCACAUGUAGGAGAAGAAGAAAGGAAUGAAAGCAAUAUGGUCAUGGUAACCUUGGAUAAAUUGGUG